rnacentral:lncRNA from 1 species
CGCAUCACCAAGGUAAAUGACACUAUCCUUGUCUUGCUCCCUGAAAUUUCUAAUCAUGUUGCCAUGUCGUAGUUCCGACCUAUCAGUCUAUGUUUGGUGCUCUACAAAGCUGUCACCAAAUGUUUGACUCCUCGUGUCCGGCCCUACACGCCUCGGCUGGUGUACCCUACUCGAGCAAGCUUUGGAAGGCGACACAUCACAAACAACAUCAUCAUUCUUUAGGAGGUUGUCCACUUUAUGACAUACGACAAGAAUCGGCGGCAUCAAAGGAUGGUGGUGAAGGUAUACCUAGCUAAAGCUUAUGAUAAGGUAUGAUUGAUGGUCUUUCCUCCAGGAUAUGGUCAUAGCUGUACGAUUCUCGGAGUCGAUGGUUCAGCUGGUCAUGGCUUGUGUCUCUUCUGCUCAGUUUCAAAUCUUGUGGAUGGUGGCCUCACUGAUUCUUUUACCCCUUCUUAGGGUAUUCGCUAGGGAUUUCCUCUAUCUCCCUUCUUGUUUACUUUCUAUUUGAGCGGCUCAGCCAUAUUAUUAAUGUUACGGUUUGAACUAGUGAUUGGAAACCUAUCCGGCUCACCCCAGAUAGCCCUGCUCUCUCACACCUUUUCUUUCAAGAUGACUUAAUUUUGUUUGGCGAGGCAACCCUAGCUCAGGCACUGGGCAUGACCCACUUCCUUGAUCAAUUUUGUGCGGCCUCUGGACAGGAAUGAGCAAGGAUAAGUUUGUCCUCUACUUCUCCACGACGACUACGCGUGCUCUUUCGUCCGCGAUUUCAGCUAGCAUGAGUAUUCGAAUGAGUCAAAAUUUGGGCCGCUAUCUGGGUGUUCCUUUCCUACAUGAACAAGUGACAAAUGACACCUACCAGUUCAUCCUUGAUAGGAUGGACCAAAAGAUUUCUGGAUGGAAAACCUCGACUCUUACUUUGGCUGAUAGAGUCACUCUUGCUCAGUUAGUUCUCUCUGCUAUUCCAUCGUAAAUUGUGCAAACCUCUGUACUUUCUAGUCAUAUUUGUAGUGAGAUCGAUCGUAAGAUUUGAAAUUUUUUGUGGGGUACCACGACUGAGAGCCACAAGAUUCACCUUAUCUCGUGAGAGACGAUUUAUCGUCCAAAAGCAGAGGUAGGUCUCAGGCUACGGCUGGCAAGACAGUUGAAUCAAGCCUACAUGCUAAAACUUGGGUUUCAUUUUAUUACCAAACUUUAUGACUUGUUGGUGCAGGUCCUUCGCACCAAGUAUACCAGAGAGGAUGAUGCGGGUUUUCAUCACUGACAUACCAACUAUAAAUCAUCAAUUUGGCGUGGUAUUUUGGCUAGUCUUCUUGCAAUCCAGCAAGGGCUUCGAGAUGGAAUUCACGAUGGAUGUGGCAGUGCAUUGUGGACAGGGAGGUGGCUCAACUCGGGGACAACUCUUAUCGACCAUAUCGUACCUACGGCGGCCAAGCCUAAGCUUCAUGCGACAAUCAUCUCCUUCAGCACUACUUCAGGUUAGGGUUGAGAUCCAGCCUGGAUCAGGCUAAACCCAGCCCGGUUUGACCGGGUUCCAGGUUUGAAAAUAGGAAUGUUAAGUAUCCAAACCCGGCCCAGAAUAAUAAUCGGGUUAUCCGAACCCGGUUUGACCGGGUCUAGGCUGGGGCUGGGUUACCCGGACUUUACCCAGUCAUUGUGAAAGACGAAAUCUAAAGGAUAAUUUUCUAUUAUUUUUUUCUCUCAUAUCUGUUCG